UCCUAAUUCCUAACAGCCAACUCUCAUCUCUCUGUUCGAUAUUUUUCCUUCGCGCAGUGACAAAAGUGCAGCACUCCUUCAUGACUUUCUUCUUCAAUCUUUUGUUCUUCUUCACCAUAAAAAUUACAACAAAUCACACCAUGAAAUUCAUCCUAUUGAAGAACGAAAUAUAUCUUGCAAGUGGAAAGGCUUUUGGCAUGGUUUUGGAAGUUAGGGUUUGUGCCAAGGAAUGAGAAGAGUACCCACCUACACCUUCACAAUUACUCAGUCAGGUUAUUGAGAUUUAUCGGCUAGUGGUUCGUUCGGUUGGCGAGGAGCUGUUGAGAGCGAUUCAGUUGAUUCGUCUUAGUUGUGAGUGGUUUUCAACUACUAUGACAUAUUUUAACGUUCUUAUAACUGAUUUAAUUACUUUAUCAUAUUGUCUAUUUAUCUAAAUUGGGGAAACAUGUUUUUAUAUGUUUGACUAUCAUUCUUGAACUUUGAAAGCUGAUUUUGAGCAUGUUUUAUGAAUUGAUAUGAUAAGAGAAUGACAUUGGUUUAAUUUUGAAAUUAUGUGAAAUUGAGAUUGUGAACUUAAAAAGCUUUGAUGAGCAUUGAAAAGUUGAUGUUGAGAAUGUUAUUUUGAAAAGCUUUGAUGAGCAUUUGAAAGCUGAUUUUGAGAAUGUUGAUGAGACUUGUAUUGGUUUGAGAAAAUGGUUUUGGGGAUCCUUGAUAGAACCCCGUAGCCGUUAGCGGAGGUAACGGCCUAGGUGCACCUAGCUAGUUGAUUCCGAGAGGAGAGGGCUAUCCGUUAGAUGAAGCCGCCAGUGCACGGAAAGGGCUAUCAACGAGAUGUAGCUUCCCCCGAUGAGAUUGAUGAGAUAUGACAUGAUUCCGGGUGGAGAGGGCUAUCCGUUAGAUGGAGCCACCUCUUGGGUAAGAUAAUCCUUAAGAGGAAAGGGCUAUCAAUGAGAUGUAGCUUCCCCCGAUGACACGAUGUGACUUAAGAAAGGAAAGGGCUAUCCGUUAGAUGGAGUCGCCCCUAUCGGAGAGGCCAUCCCUUAGGAGGAGAGGGCUAUCAACGAGAUGGAGCCACCUCAUGGUUCUACAUGUGUGACCCUAUGAUAUUAAAUCAUAUUUCUGAUUUCAAAUGCUUUCUUAUGAUUGAUUGGAUUUUAUCAAGCUUCAUUGAAAUGAUUAUUUAUGAACUUGGCAAGUUUGAUGCUCUCUUAUUUGAAAUGGUUCUUAUUAAUUUUAUUAAUAUUAUUUAUAUUGUCACAUUGAACUGAUGGUGAAAAACUCGUGCCAAUUUUGUUUCCCUUUCCUAUUCAUGGUGGUUGAUGACUGCUCACUAAGUCUUUGUGACUUACCCCAUUCAUUUUUCCCUCCACAGAUUCACAGACAACUAAGUAUUAAGCUGGUGUCAGAUUCAGAUCGUUCAAUUUAUCUUGUUGGUAGGCCUCCUUUGGUUGGUGCCUCGAUUGGUGUCUUGUAUUUGAUUCUAGUUAUCUGCAGUUAUAGGGAGUUUUAGGAGGAUUUAGACUUGGGAUUGUUAUUUAUUGUUUUACGGUAAAAGUUGCACUUGAGUGCUAAAAUUGAAAAUUUCCUUUUAAUGGAAGUAUGAAAAUGGAGAUCAUUAUUUGACAGGUUUUGUCAUUUGAGAUAUUGAGAAUACAGGUGAAAUCUUGCAUAGUUAUUUUUAUAAAAUAUAGAGAAACAUAUGUAAUGUAAGGCCCUAUUUCAUUUUUGUAUUGAUUUGAGAAAAAUUGAAUAAAAAUGAGGUUUUUGUUCAAGUUUGGAAAUCGGCAGAAUUCAACUGUCAACUUGUGAGUAAAUUAGUUUGUUUUCUUCUAAUUCCGAAUUUGAUUAUGAAAUUACUUAAGAGGGCUUAAGUUUUUAAUUAGAUUUAGGUCUGAUUAAGUGCUUAAGUUAUUGGGUCAAGGGUUUGACUUGGAGCGGGCUCAAGAGAAAAGAAAAGAAACCCAAGCCCAUGAAGAGGGGGAGCCCGCGGUUGUAUUAGGGUUUUGAAGGGGGGAAAAGUUUCUUUUCCAUUCAGUUCUGAAACAGAAACCCUUGCACUCCUUACGUAAAGAAAACAGAAGAGAAAAGAGUGAGAGAACCACCCCUUGCACCCUUAGCCGCCGCCGACCAAGCCACCACCGCCACCUUGUGCGCGCGCGAGAGAGAGGGAGACCUGCGAGAGAGAGAGCUCGAGUAGGAGGGAAGAGAGGGUCUUGGACAGCAGCUUUUGAUACCUUCUUCAUCACCCAACUUCUGAUUUCUUCACUCUUAAUCAAGAUGGUCGUGAAGAUAAUGACGAAGACUCAUUCUUGGGAGUUGAUGCUACGUGACGAGCCACUACCGGAUGACGACUACACUUCUGAUGAAGAGGAAGAAGAUAAAGAGGAAGGGGCCAAGGAUAUGGUUGGGUUGUGAGACAUCCAUUUUUCUUUUGGGUUGAGAGUACCGAGUUUUGGAAGUAUUGAACCAUUACUUUAUUUUAGUUGAGAUAGUUUAACUUGAUGUAAUUUACUUUGAAGUUUUCUUCCGGAUAUUUAUUUCAUACUCUUUUCAAUGAUUAAUAAAGUUUGAGGUUUACGUUGAUGAUUA